rnacentral:rRNA from 1 species
AACGAACGCUGGCGGCGUGCCUAACACAUGCAAGUCGAGCGCGAAAGCGGCUUCGGUCGUGAGUAGAGCGGCAGACGGGUGAGUAACACGUGGAUAAUCUUCCUCAGGGUAGGGGAUAACUCGGGGAAACUCGAGCAAAUACCGUAUGUGUCCGUUUAACGGUGGUUGAACGGAGAAAGCAGGGGAACUCUUCGGAGUCCUUGCGCCAGGAGAUGAGUCCGCGUCCCAUCAGCUAGUUGGCGGGGUAAUGGCCCACCAAGGCGAAGACGGGUAGCUGGUCUGAGAGGAUGGUCAGCCACACUGGAACUGAGACACGGUCCAGACUCCUACGGGAGGCAGCAGUGGGGAAUAUUGCGCAAUGGGGGCAACCCUGACGCAGCAACGCCGCGUGAGUGAUGAAGGCCUUCGGGUCGUAAAGCUCUGUCGGAAGGGAAGACGGGUAGUUAGUCUAAUAAACUAGCAGCUUGACGGUACCUUCAAAGGAAGCACCGGCUAACUCUGUGCCAGCAGCCGCAGUAAGAC